GCUUCGAUAGUGUAAUGGCAGCAUCUCAGUCUCCAAAACUGAUGGUAAUUGGUUCAAAUCCAGUUCGGAAUG
rnacentral:tRNA from 1 species